rnacentral:tRNA from 1 species
GGGCGGAUGGCGAAACCGGUAGACGCGCCAGACUUAGGAUCUGGUCCCGAAAGGGGUGAGGGUUCGAGUCCCUCUUCGCCCA